CGGAGGAUGCAAGCGUUAUCCGGAUUUAUUGGGUUUAAAGGGUGCGUAGGCGGAUGAAUAAGUCAGUGGUGAAAGCCUGCAGCUUAACUGUAGAAUUGCCAUUGAUACUGUUCGUCUUGAGUACAGCUGAGGUGGGCGGAAUAUGACAUGUAGCGGUGAAAUGCUUAGAUAUGUCAUAGAACACCGAUUGCGAAGGCAGCUCACUAAACUGUCACUGACGCUGAGGCACGAAAGCGUGGGGAGCAAACAGGAUUAGAUACCCUGGUAGUCCACGCCCUAAACUAUGAUCACUCGAUGUUGGCGAUACACUGUCAGCGUCUAAGCGAAAGCAUUAAGUGAUCCACCUGGGGAGUACGGUCGCAAGACUG
rnacentral:rRNA from 1 species